GGACCUGAAAUGGGCCGACCAGGAUGAGGAAACCACAGGCAGAGGCCGGGGAAGCAGCGCGGCAUCCCAUCCUCAGGCCUGCCCGGACGGUGUUCGGAAUCAUCUCCCCUGCCCCACAAACAUGAAAGAAAAGACAAGAGAAGCACCCCAGAAGAGGAGGGGAGAAGUGCCCCAGAAAAAAUCAUCCAGUCUCUGAAGCUUUGCCCAGGGCACCACUCGCCCCUGAUCCAUCUUGGUUUCCCGCACAAGGCAGCAGGAUUGCCCAUGAAUGAACAUGGGUGAAAUCGUUGGAUACAGUCUCCACCUCCAAAACAAGACUCAGAAAAAGGUGUGAAGCUCAAGUCGGAUGACCAUGACCCACGCGUGGCCACGGACGGGCCCAUGCUACCCUUCGCAGUCCUCCUGGAACAGCCGGGCCGGUCCUCACCUCCGGGUCGGGGCUUGGAGAUAAUGGGUGUAAUGGAAGGCCUGAGGACCGGGCCCCACGCCAGUCAGCGUCCGGGCGGGAUACCCCAUCCCCCGUUCACACUCUCGGAAGGCCCAGCGAUUCCCGCGUGUACUAAUUGACCCGCUCAGGCCACAGCACUCCGAGCUCAAGAGCGCGCCUACAACGCUGACCCUCAGGUUUAAUCUCCGACGAAAGGACGAAGAGUACACCCAGCAAAGCCGGGCUCAUCCUGCCAGCGCUGCCAGUCCCCUGGAACUCUGCACCGCGCCCUGUGGCCAAAUCCCCUUUCUUGCCGGCUUCGCCAGAGCGCCGGAGAGAAAACCUUAACAGUGCAGCCAGG
rnacentral:lncRNA from 1 species